rnacentral:rRNA from 1 species
CAGUAGCCGCGGUAAUACGGAGGGUGCAAGCGUUAUCCGGAUUUAUUUGGUUUAAAGGGUCCGUAGGCGGACUUAUAAGUCAGUGGUGAAAGCCUGUCGCUUAACGAUAGAACUGCCAUUGAUACUGUAAGUCUUGAGUAUAUUUGAGGUAGCUGGAAUAAGUAGUGUAGCGGUGAAAUGCAUAGAUAUUACUUAGAACACCAAUUGCGAAGGCAGGUUACCAAGAUAUAACUGACGCUGAGGGACGAAAGCGUGGGUAGCGAACAGGAUUAGAGACCCCGGUAGUCCCUGUCUCUUAUAC